rnacentral:misc_RNA from 1 species
CCUGAUUUCAUUUUUAUUGGCUAAAAUUCUUAAAAGCCAAGGAAGCCAUAAAUGAGUCAUUCUUGCUAAGAUUUGAUCCAUAAUACAUCAAAAUAUAAGUGGACUCCACAUAUACUGUAUUUCUUGAUGUCUCUUUGAUCCGUUAAAGACAACUAGAUUUAGAUAAAAAUUUCUUGCUACAAACAACUUUCUAAAUAGAAAAUAGUAAUAAUCAUUCCCUCUUGUUUCUUUCAUUAAUUCUCCCAAUUUUCCUAUAUUGAAAGGCAAAGAAUAACGCACUACUUCUAUUAGAAUAUGCCAACACCUCAAAAUCAUGCAUUCGUGUCCAGCAUCCCCAAAAUACCAAACUUUUUAUGGCUAUAAUAACAAGAGAGGAGUAGGGAGGUUGGAUAUAUCAGAAAGAUGGGACUAGAAAAAAAGGGCUAUUAACAGAACUAAGAAAAAUUGAAAUUCUCAACCCAAUUGCUAAAGGAUUAUCGAAAAGAUAUAAAUGUAAACAAGCCAACAAAGAGUUACAACCGCAUAAACCAAGCAAAACAUGAAGGCAGGAGUACCUCAUUCUGCAGACAAGUUACCAUAUUGCCAUGGGUUGAAUUCAAAUGAUUUGACAUCAACCUCUUCUAUGCUAUCUGAUCUAUCCACAGCCUCCCUAUGUUCCGUGUAUUUACCAUUGUAUUGGUAGACUUCCAAGUCACCCCAUGGAGUAGGUGUUACCUCAUCAGUCAUAUCAAACCAUCUUGGAGUAAAUUUAUGGGCCUUAGCCUCUCGGUCUCUUUUUUCAGCUCUCUGCCUCUCCUCCAAACUGCUCUUUUCAGCACCAGCUUUUGAUAGAUCACCCUUCUCCAGUGCUAGUCUAUCAGGGCGCAGACGAGAAUCAGAUGCUAACAACUUCCUAGGAGCUGUGUCAAAGCUGUUAAGCUUAUGCGCAAAGUAUGUAUACUGAAAUUUAUCAUUUGCUGGAACAUCAGCAACAUGCCAGACCUGCAUAGCAAAAUUAAAUAAAAUCUGUAGAUGAGAAGUAAGUAGUUCCAAGUAUUUCUAAUUACCAAGUCAAAUAUCAGCAAACUCAGAGCACCUUGUUAGUUACCAAAAAGGACGUAUCCCAUCACGAAAAUUAUCCCAACACUCAACAGACACAUCUAUGCACACACCCAUGCAUGCUCACAACUGAGUCACCAUCAUCCUCGAAAGUCAAAUUCUUUGCAUGCUGAUGGGAAUAAAUGUAAAUAAAUAAAAAGCAAACACAAAUAUGAUUGCAUUCUGUCUGACUGCUCAUACGUAAAAAAUGGCAUUGGUUCCUAUUUUCAAAAAUUUAAAUUCAGAUAUGAAAAAAAAAUACUGUCAAUGGAAAAACUUGUUUGGCUGACUAACUAUUCUAGGAAAACACUUAUCUGAAAACUUGUUCUCAAGAUACCCUAUUUUCCGGAGCAGGAAAAAAAUGGUUUGCAAUUUUAUUAAAAACAGAUUUCAGUGAAGCAAAUAGAGAAACAAUUCUUAGUAGACAACAUGCCAACAAGAAAAUAUUCAAAACAAGUAUGUAACUGCCAUGAUCUAUCUGACUACAAGCAUCUAGUGCACUUCAAGUAAGCAUUUGCUACAAGUAAUAGCACUUUCACCAUUACAGCCAUUCUGGCAUGCCAUGAUCAAAUUGAUAUAAGUAUAAAGAAGCAUAAUACCAGGAGGCUAAAUGCAAAAAUUGCUUAAUAGAACUUAACAUUGUAGAUAGUUAUUGACUUUUGUUUCACAUAAAAGCAGCAUGUGAUAAAGGAAGUCCUUACCUCUUUCAAUUCUGAGUCUGGAAGAGGUUCACCUUCCAGAUCACAUGGUUGAUAGCUCAUUGACUCAUUCCACUUCCCUGUCAUCAAUAUUUUGGGCUCUUCAUCAGCAUUAUAAACAUAUCCAUCCACUUCAUAGCGACCAGCACUGCAAUCGAGCGUAAUUGUUCUUUAGUCACCACCAGCAGGCUAAGUUAAGCAAAUUUAAAUGCAAUGAUGGUUAAGAUCCUUGUGGAAAUAAAAUUUGAGGAUAUGGAGCCAACACCAUCCCAAUCCCCCACCCAAUAAGAGAGUCAAAAUCACUUCAACAAACCCUGAGAACCCAAACCAGCCACAUGGUUGGAAAUAUAGAACAACUUUAUCUCCAGUAGUUAAAUUCGUCAUUAUCAUCUCCCCAGGUGAAUCAACCCAAGUCCGUCCAAAAAUUAGAUUGUUAACCUUCGUGGGAGGUGGCACUAGAUCUAAAACCACACCAUCUCUUUUAAGAGUCACACGUGUUCUGCAAAGGAGUAAAUAAAUUUAAAUUUAUACACUUCUUAAAAGCUCAAAUUUAGUCACAUGAAACAUCAAAUGAUACAAAAAAAACUGCUAAAAAAAGAAAAAUGUAGUCAGCUAAGAUAAUGCCCCAUGUGAGUCUGACACAUGUUUUCCUCGCUUUGCUGAAAGAUGCAUUACACUACUUUUGGGAAAAGGGGAAUUACGAGGAAAGAAAAUUUUAUGUGCUGAGUGGAAAAUGCGAGAGGAAAGUUACUUUACCUUGUUUAAAGGUGGGGAAAACAUGUGGGAAAAAGAAACUGACAGGAUCUAUUUCAAAAUUUUUCCUUUGUCCCACUAAAUGUAAUUUUGCCUUUACAUUUUCCUUCUGUCCAGACAAAAUAGGGGAAAAACCUUCAGUUUUAAGAAAGGCAAAACUAUUAUGAAUAGGUUACUCCAAAGUGCAAACUCCCCUUCCCCCAACCCCCACACAAGGCUAUCCUCCGCCAUAAGAGCAAGUUCUUCCUUGACAGCUAAUGCAUCCAAGGAGACGGCAAUGGAGCACUAAAACCUUAAGAUGCAUACAAAAGAUUGAAAACAAACAAUGGAAAUUUGCAAAGCAGAUAUUACCUUCCAACUGGGUAAACAUCAAGAGAAUUUCCUAAAAAUUUAGUUUUCAACUUCGAUGUCACAUCAUAAGUAAAAUGAUCAUUUUCAGCAUGGCCAGCACUCAUUGGGGGAUGAUGACUCACCUGCUCUGCAAUAAAUGUAAUACCCCCAUGAUUAGCCAUUUCAUAAGUCUCUCCAAGAAUGGGAUUAAACGGUUUCCAUGUUCGUUGGUAGGCAUAGUAGACAGAGAUAGCCCAUGAUGAAGCAUACACCAAACGCAUGUAAGGAUCCUCACAUUCAUCUGCUUGAUCUAACAAGUAGGAGUAUUCCAUCAACUCUGCCAUUUUUUGAAGCAUGGUCAUUGGCUCAAAAAUAAGGACAGGAAGUGUCACCAUAGAUGUAACAUCUGACCCUAUGUAUUUCUGCAUCAUUUUCCAGUAGCCAUCUCGUUCCUCCUGCUCCCAUCUUCCUUUCUGAGCUUCCUCCUCUGCGUCAUGUUUGCCACCCUCAGGAUUUAUGACUUCUACUCCUUCAUAACCCAGUAACCCAUUAACAGAUCUGUGCAUAGCGUUGCCAAACAUGGACAAGCCAGAGGUCAUGGCAGCAAAAAAGCCUUUACUUUGAUUGUCAUUAGGAGUAGCCAUUUUUUCCUGUAGGAAUAAAAAGCUUUGUUUUGUUGAUUCUGAAAUCAGUUUUUCGAACUCAAAUGCUCAGCCGGCGGUAAAAGAGGCAAGGCCGGCUCCUUAAAAGGAAAGAAAUUAAUUGGAGUCGUCGAUUUGGACCAAGAAGAAAUAGAGAAGUCAAGAGUGUGAAAUGAAAUGGAGAAUAGAAGAAUCUGUGAUUUUUCAAAAGAUAAACGACUGCUUGUGAAAGUCGAAACUGGUUGGCGGUUUCGCAACUCGCUUUUUCGUUGUCCCUUGUCAGCUGGGAUUUAUUCCCGUUUAGAUUAUAAAUAUUAACGUUAAACUACGAUAAUAUAAAAGUUUGAUAAAAAAAAAAUCAUAAUUAAAUAUUUUUUAAUUUAAAAUAAUUUUUUAAAAUGAUGCUAAUGAUCGUUUCAUUAAAAAUUCAACCCAUUUAUCAUUAACUAAAAUAAAAACUUUAGUG